rnacentral:ncRNA from 1 species
CCGAAAGAUGAUGAAUUAUAUUCGAGUAGGAUGAAGCCAGAAGAAGCUUUGAUCGAAGCCCAAAGCGAUUCUGAUGUGUAAAUCGAUCGCUUGACAUUGGUGUAGGAGCGAAAGAGACUAAUCGAAUAAUCUAGUAGCUG